rnacentral:rRNA from 1 species
GAUGAACGCUGGCGGCGUGCCUAAUACAUGCAAGUCGAGCGAACGGACGAGAAGCUUGCUUCUCUGAUGUUAGCGGCGGACGGGUGAGUAACACGUGGAUAACCUACCUAUAAGACUGGGAUAACUUCGGGAAACCGGAGCUAAUACCGGAUAAUAUUUUGAACCGCAUGGUUCAAAAGUGAAAGACGGUCUUGCUGUCACUUAUAGAUGGAUCCGCGCUGCAUUAGCUAGUUGGUAAGGUAACGGCUUACCAAGGCAACGAUGCAUAGCCGACCUGAGAGGGUGAUCGGCCACACGGGAACUGAGACACGGUCCAGACGCCUACGGGAGGCAGCAGUAGGGAAUCUUCCGCAAUGGGCGAAAGCCUGACGGAGCAACGCCGCGUGAGUGAUGAAGGUCUUCGGAUCGUAAAACUCUGUUAUUAGGGAAGAACAUAUGUGUAAGUAACUGUGCACAGCUUGACGGUACCUAAUCAGAAAGCCACGGCUAACUACGUG